AGAGGGUGCGAGCGUUAAUCGGAAUUACUGGGCGUAAAGAGCUCGUAGGUUGAUAAAUAAGUUCUAUGUGAAAGCCCUGGGCUCAACCUAGGAAUUGCAUAGGAUACUGUUUGACUAGAGUACAGUAGAGGGAAGUGGAAUUUCCGGUGUAGCGGUGAAAUGCAUAGAUAUCGGAAGGAACACCAGUGGCGAAGGCGACUUUCUGGACUGAUACUGACACUGAGGAGCGAAAGCGUGGGGUAGCAAACAGGAUUAGAUACCCUGGUAGUCCACGCUGUAAACGAUGAGAACUAGAUGUUGGUGGACAUAAGAUUCUACUAGUAUCGUAGCUAACGCGUUAAGUUCUCCGCCUGGGGAGUACGGCCGCAAGGUUA
rnacentral:rRNA from 1 species